GAUCGUUUUACUCGGAAAACAUCUAUCAUGGCGUCCGUGCCGACAUCGUGUGAUUCUUCAACAACGUCGGAAGGAAAACACCAAAAACUGAUGAAAGAGUGCCUCCUAAAGAAGUAUUUUACUAGCGGCAGCAAAUGAAAUGAUGACACAGGGUUCCUGCUUGGACCGCUGAUGAGGAAGAAAAUGUGGCAGGUGCAUCUAGAGCAACUCAUGGGCGUUAAGGAAGUCCGUGGUGGUGAAGACGCCUUCAGGGGUUGACACGGUCUCUGCGUCGACGCCCUCUGCUGCCGGGCACAGCGUCAGGUCCAGCCAGUCCAUAGCGUGAAGGUCCGAGUGAAGCUCCUCCAUCAGCUUCAGCGGUUCAGCGUCCGCACUCAGGAGGGAGUCCAAGCGGCUGUCGGGUGCCAGCGCUGUGGGCGGCACAUGUGCCACCUGGACCAGAGGCGGUGGACGUGAUAGGACUGUGUUGACAGGCAGGAGGGUGACGCUGGGUGUGACGGGAAGGCGCUUGUUGAUGCUGGGAGGAUCCUGCUUGAUGAAAGGUGCUAUCUCUGCAAAACAUGGGAAUGAAAAAAACAAGGUGAUGAUUUAUUUAGGGUUAACUAGGGUUGGGGUUUCAAACUUGGGCAGUUUGGCUCGCUAUUCUUACCGCCGCUUUCAAUCAAGACAUCGAACAGGUCGUCCAUCUGCUGGCUGGCUGCAGAGACGCCCUACAGGAAGACAAAUCAAAAACAUUGAACAUUCUUCAUUCUAAGAGUGCUAAGUGUUUAUAUAAGUGCCUACCUCUGAAAAUGCUAUAAAUGUUCAUAUAACUAUGUUAGCAUGCUAACAUUACAUGCUAAAUUUUUAACAUGAUAGCAUUGUCCAAGUUCAUAUUCAUGACAAAUUGCAAAAAAUGCUAGUAGGUGCAUGUCGACCUCAGAAAAUGGCUAAAAACUAGUACUAUGCUAAAGGUAGCAUUCUCACAAUAUUAACAUACUAAUGUUAGCAUGCUAACACCGAAUGUUAUAAUGGAAAGUGUUUAUAUAUACAGUAUGUCUACCCAUGAAAAUAGCAAACAAUUUUACUAUGCUAAUAUUAGCAUGCUAGCAAUAAUACAUGCUAAUGUUAACACCUAGCAUAAUAGUGCUAAGUGUCUACGACAAUGGGCGAAAAUUCUACUAUGCUAAUGUUAACAUGCUAUAACACCUGGCAUUAUAUUAAUACAUGUUUAUAUGUGUGUCUAUCCAUGAAAAUAGCUAGCAAAACUAACAUGCUAAUAUUAGCAUGUUAACAUAAUAGUGGUGUUUCAUGUGUCUACCCUUAAAAAAUGUUAGUAUGCUAUUGCUGGCAUGCUAGCAUCAUUAACAUGCUAAUUUUAACAUGCUAACACCUAGCAUAAUAGCGCUAAGUUUUUAUGUGUCUACUGAUGACAAUGGGUCAAACCGCUACUAUGCUAAUGUGAGCAUAUUAGCAAUGUUAACAUGUUAACGGUACCAUGUUAACACCUAGCAUGAUAGUGUUGGUGUUUAUAUAAAGUGUCUACUCGUGAAAAUAGCAAAAAAAAUGCCAGGGCUAGCAUGCUAACACCGCAAACGUGUUUAUACGUGUCUCCCCAUGAAAGUAGCAGAAAAAGUUACUAUGCUAAUAUUAGCAUGUUGAAAAUAGAGACAAAUAGUAGAGACAAAAUGUGCUGUAUACAUGAUAUUUGGGUAUUGCUAA